UACGUAGGGUGCAGGCGUUAAUCGGAAUUACUGGGCGUAAAGCGUGCGCAGGCGGUCUCUUAAGACAGGUGUGAAAUCCCCGGGCUUAACCUGGGAACUGCGUCUGAUACUGGAAGGCUUGAGUGCGGGAGAGGGAUGUGGAAUUCCAGGUGUAGCGGUGAAAUGCGUAGAUAUCAGGAGGAACACCUGUGGUGUAGACAGCUUACUGGACCAUUUCUGACGCUGAGACACGAAAGCGUGGGUAGCAAACAGG
rnacentral:rRNA from 1 species